UAGCUUGCACAGUGGCAGUAUCAUAGCCAGUGAGGUUUAUCCAAGGUGUGAUUAUUGCUAAUUGAAAAAGA
rnacentral:snRNA from 1 species